rnacentral:ncRNA from 2 species
AUUUAGUCAUAUGACUGACGGAAGUGGGUUUACCACAUGAAGUAUGACUAUUAAUAAGCCGACCGUCUGGGCAAAAAAG